CGAACUGCCGUUGACAAAACGGAGGAAGGUGGGGAUGACGUCAAAUCAUCAUGCCCUUAUGUUCUGGGCUACACACGUGCUACAAUGGCCGGUACAGACGGACGCAAAGCCGCGAGGUGGAGCAAAUCCUAAAAAGCCGGUCUCAGUUCGGAUUGGCAGGCUGCAAUUCGCCUGCAUGAAGUCGGAAUCGCUAGUAAUCGCAGGUCAGCAUACUGCGGUCGAAUACGUUCCCGGGCCUU
rnacentral:rRNA from 1 species